CUUCAUGGCUUGUAAUUGUCCUGUUUUUAUACGUUUAAUUGUAAUCUAACAAUCUGUAAACGAAUGAUAUAUUGUAUAUUGUCUCUGUUCUAUGUAUUAUUUAUACUUUCCUUGGAUGUAUUUGUUAUACCUAUGUUUAAAAACUUAAUGAAGCUUAUGAAAAAAAAGUUAGAGAUAUGGUUAUUGUGUUGUGAUUGAUUAGAGUUAGUGUAGUGUAUUGGGUUAAAG